rnacentral:rRNA from 1 species
UACGUAGGGAGCAAGCGUUGUCCGGAUUCAUUGGGCGUAAAGAGCGCGUAGGCGGUUUGGUAAGUCGGAUGUGAAAACACGAGGCUCAACCUCGUGCGUGCAUCCGAAACUGCCCGACUAGAGGUAGGUAGGGGAGAUCGGAAUUCCUGGUGUAGCGGUGGAAUGCGCAGAUAUCAGGAGGAACACCGGUGGCGAAGGCGGAUCUCUGGGCCUUACCUGACGCUGAGGCGCGAAAGCGUGGGGAGCAAACAGG